UGUGAAGUUAUUUGGAUUUUUACAAAUUAUCUUUGAAAUACAGAGUCCUGAAAAAAGGAUGUUUCUUUUUUUUGCUGAGUUUAGCUGCAGUCCGUACUUCAAACUAUCACAAAAUGUUCAUCUUCCCACUUGUUGUGGUAAACAGUUGUUUGAUGGUGCUAAGGAAAUUGUAAUGUUCAAUUCUGAAACUGAAUGAUUGCAUCUCCUAAAAACAAACAUAUAAGACAUUAAGAUAUUGUGAGUGAUUGCUCCAGAUUUACAGUUUUAUUUCUACAUUAUGUUGCACAGCUGGUGCUUUAAUCCUGGAGAGCCCUGCCUAUCCUAUAACUGAGGGAGACUCUGUGACUCUGCGCUGUGCAAAUAGUUAUCAGGAAACAAACCUGAACCCCAUGGUUGAUUUCUACAAAGAUGGAGUACUCAUCAGGAAUGAAACCACAGGAGAGAUGAACAUCCCUGCAGUGUCCAAGUCAGAUGAAGGCUUCUAUAAUUGUAAAUCUAAUCAAGGAGAAUCACCAGAGAGCUGGGUGACAGUGAGAGGUGAGAAGAGCAGUGUGUGUGUGUGUGUGUGUGUUGAUGGUAAAACAUGUGUUUGAUAUUCUCUCCAGGUUCUGUUGUCUCCAUCUCUGCUGCCCAGGCUGCUGUGUGGUUUACUGGUGGUGUCUCCCUUUCUACUGGUGUCUAUUGUGUUGAUGAUAAAAUGUUGCAGGGCCCGAGGCUUGUGUUCAACAGCCAAAUCUCCUCAAGACGAGUUACCAUCUGAUGAUGUCAUCUAACAGACUGAAUCAUCCAUGUGAUCGUUACAAUAUGAACUGUCAGCUGAAAAAAACCAUGUAUAUGAUUUUGACGUUUUUGCUAUUGCCUUGCCAUUGAUUUAUGAUUGUGUUUACUGUGUAUAUAUACACUGCUCA